rnacentral:misc_RNA from 1 species
ACGGACGCGCGGGUUUCGAAGUAGCAGAACAGCGCAGGAACCCGGGGAAUGGAAGCCCGG